UGGUAUAAAUACGAUAUGUUUAUCAUUUUCACAUGAUUUUUACAUAAUUACAAUGCUUUAAGGCUUAAAAUAAUUGUUUACAAAGCCGAGGAGUUUCUUUUUUUUUCCCUAGGACGGAUAUACAUUACUCUCCAAGCCUACAAGAUUGGAUGUUUUUAUGCGCUAUACGUAUGUGUUGUAUUUCAGUUGAGAGUUUUAGGUAAACUUGAUGGUGACAUUUUUUGCGAUAACCUGUGUGAUUGUUUUUAUUACGAACCGUUCCUUCAACAAUCCUUGAAACAAUUAUAGGUUGUCCUAUUAAUAUGUCCACUUACCUAACUAUUAACAAUUUUGUAUAAUCGUUUUAAGUUGUUUACUUUCCAGAAUACAUGUAAACUUGCUAAACUGAAAAACUAAAUAAACUUUUUUAACCGAGC